AUUGAACGCUGGCGGCAUGCCUUACACAUGCAAGUCGAACGGUAACAGGUCUUCGGAUGCUGACGAGUGGCGAACGGGUGAGUAAUACAUCGGAACGUGUCUAGUAGUGGGGGAUAACUACUCGAAAGAGUGGCUAAUACCGCAUGAGAUCUACGGAUGAAAGCAGGGGAUCGCAAGACCUUGUGCUACUAGAGCGGCCGAUGGCAGAGUAGGUAGUUGGUGGGAUAAAAGCUUACCAAGCCGACGAUCUGUAGCUGGUCUGGGAGGACGAUCAGCGACACUGGGACUGAGACACGGCCCAGACUCCUACGGGAGGCAGCAGUGGGGAAUUUUGGACAAUGGGCGCAAGCCUGAUCCAGCAAUGCCGCGUGCAGGAUGAAGGCCUUCGGGUUGUAAACUGCUUUUGUACGGAACGAAAAGCCCUGGGUUAAUACCCUGGGGUCAUGACGGUACCGUAAGAAUAAGCACCGGCUAACUACGUGCCAGCCGCCGCAGUAAUAC
rnacentral:rRNA from 1 species